GAUGAACGCUAGCGGCAGGCCUAACACAUGCAAGUCGAGGGGUAGCAGGAUUAAGCUUGCUUAAUUGCUGACGACCGGCGCACGGGUGCGUAACGCGUAUGCAACCUACCUUAUACUGGGGUAUAGCCCGGAGAAAUUCGGAUUAAUCCCCCAUAGUACUAAUGAAUCGCAUGGUUUAUUAGUUAAAUCAUUGCGGUAUAAGAUGGGCAUGCGUCCUAUUAGCUAGAUGUGAGGUAACGGCUCACCAUGGCUACGAUAGGUAGGGGGCCUGAGAGGGUGGCCCCCCACACUGGUACUGAGACACGGACCAGACUCCUACGGGAGGCAGCAGUGAGGAAUAUUGGUCAAUGGGCGCAAGCCUGAACCAGCCAUGCCGCGUGCAGGAAGAAUGCCCUAUGGGUUGUAAACUGCUUUUAUUUGGGAAUAAACCUCUUUACGUGUAGAGAGCUGAAGGUACCAAAUGAAUAAGCACCGGCUAACUCCGUGCCAGCCGCCGCGGUAA
rnacentral:rRNA from 1 species